GACAGACGGAGGCCUCUCGCGUAGUUAAACCAGAGGGCAGAUUGCGACAGUUUACUAGAGGGAGGCUCACAGAUAACGAAGGGCGCUCUUCUCCUGAAGGCCUUGGAGAGUUUAUCAUGGAUUUCCGCAAGCAGAAGUUUCUGUACGUGUACCUGCGUCGAUUUGUAGCACACCAGAAGAGUAGCAGUGGGCAGGAAGGACAGAUGGCGUGCCUGCGCGAUGCACCUGUACAUAAACAAAGCGUUCGGGGAGUUAGACAAGGCGAGGUCCUUCUUCAGAAGUCGCACACCUGUCGGCUUCAGCGAAGGUGAACUUGGCACUAGACUCUGAACAGGUCAAGACGUGAGAUUGGUCCCAGACAAUUCUGCGCAAGUCGUGUUGGUAACAAUCAUCCUGAGGUUCAAGAAUGAUGUCGAAAUGGUCAUCAAAUAAACAAAUACGCAUAAGCAAAAAAAGGUUACAAAUAUUUUUGUUUAUAAUGUUGAUAAGUAUUGGUGUUUCCUGACACUACAAUUUUAACCCACAUAUUACGCAUCCUUGGAAUAUGUAAAGUAAGUGUGAGAGCGGCGUAAAUAUUAUUCAAUUAUAUUUAAGUGCUUUCAUAUAAUUUAUGCUCUUUAAUGAUUUCAUACACAUGUAUAUAUUUUUACUCCACUAAGCCCUCACUUGACAAAAACCCUCCAACCCCACCAGCACUUGUCUUAAAAUUUCAACCAGGGAAUGCUAAUCGUUCCUAUAACCUACAGCCACAUACCAUCAACCCAGUGGACCUUGCAGAAAUUAAUUAAUAAAUCGAUAUCUAAUAUAAAGUAAAAUUAGACCUGAGACUUUUAUCUUGGAAUUAAACGUUUCUGGGGACUUUGAAUGCAAAUAAGAAAAGGAAAAUAAAAGAAGGCUAAAUAGACAUCUGGACGAAAUAGGUACAUUUGACUAUUCCAAAUCGGUAAAGAAUCGGUCUCUUAUCUGUUAAGGUUCAAUUACCUAUUCAGUCUCUUUUCUGUACAUUCCAGUGUUUAUCAAAGUACCUAACAAUCUUAUUAGUAUUUAAGGAUGCUCAUUAAGGAAUCUUCAUACGAAUUAAGGCAUAUAUACAUCAAUAUUUAUACAAAUAUAUACAUAUAUAAGAUACUACUGCUGUUAAUAAGUAAAUAUUGUGAUGAAAGUGACAAUGUUAAUGAACACUAAACCAUUCUGGUCUUAGUUUAAAAUUUAUGAAACAAACAAAAGCACAAAACAUUCAUUUUACAUAUAAGAACACUCACUUUAUAUACAGUACACAAACACACACACACACACACACACACACACACACAUAUAUAU